GGGCAAUUAGCUCAGCCGGUAGAGCAUCUCGUUUACACCGAGAAGGUCGGCAGUUCAAGCCUGUCAUUGCCCA
rfam:Wolbachia endosymbiont of Onchocerca ochengi complete genome, strain wOo